AUGCGUAGAUAUCGGGAGGAACACCCGUGGCGAAGGCGGCGUUCUGGGCUGUUCCUGACGCUGAAGGCGAAAGCUAGGGGAGCGAACGGGAUUAGAUACCCCGGUAGUCCUAGCUGUAAACGAUGGAUGCUGGGUGUGGGGGGUGUAAAUUCCCUCUGUGCCGAAGCAAACGCGUUAAGCAUCCCGCCUGGGGACUACGGCCGCAAGGCUAAAACUCAAACGAAUUGACGGGGGCCCGCACAAGCAGCGGAGCGUGUGGUUUAAUUCGAUGCUACACGAAGAACCUUACCUGGGUUUGACAUGCACGUGGUAGGGAACCGAAAGGGGACCGACCUUCGGGAGCGUGCACAGGUGCUGCAUGGCUGUCGUCAGCUCGUGCCGUGAGGUGUCGGGUUAAGUCCCGUGACGAGCGCAACCCUUGCCCUUAGUUACAAGUGUCUAAGGGGACUGCCCGGGACAACUGGGAGGAAGGUGGGGAUGACGUCAAGUCAGCAUGGCCUUUAUAUCCAGGGCUACACACACGCUACAAUGGCCGGUACAAUAGGUUGCGAAGUCGUGAGGCGGAGCCAAUCCUCAAAGCCGGUCUCAGUUCGAAUUGCAGUCUGCAACUCGACUGCAUGAAGCUGGAGUUGCUAGUAAUCGCAGGUCAGCUAUACUGCGGUGAAUACGUUCCCGGGCCUUGUACA
rnacentral:rRNA from 1 species